AAAAAUAUUUUAAGAUUCGUAAUUUAGGUGAUGUAUUAUUUUAUAAAUCAAAUAAAAAUUUAAUAUUCUCGACAUCUGUCAAAUUAAACAAUGAAUUUCGAGCUUAUAGCGACUUUUCCUUUAAAAAUUAAAAUUCCAAAGAUAUACAAGAAUUUAAAUUUUCUCCCCAUCGAAGCUCCUUGAAAAUCUUCAACAUCAUUAAGUAGAACAUGUUCGCGCGGAAUGGAUCCAUCGUUUAUACGAUCUACAAGACGAACGAUAAGAUACAUGAUAAGAUAAUACGAUCUUGUAACAUUCGCAAGCAUAGCCACGAAAUAGAAUAUGGCUUCAAUGUUCUCUGGGCGAUAGGUUAAUUUCGCGUAACAGUCAUGGUUAGUGCAAUUCCAACCAACAAGGCUGUUGUAAUAUCUAUAAGGAUAUAAGAACCAUAUCGAAUGCCAAGAAACAUAAUAUCGAUUCAAUGAAUUUCCUUUCUCGAAAUCGAUUAUUUCAACUCCAUGAAGUUUCAGUUGAUGUAUUAUAAUCUACCAUUUAUUGGAGAACGAAAAAAAAUAUUUUGGUAUACAUAUUGGAAAUUGUAAGAAAUCAGAAGGAAGUGUUCUAUAUUUGUUACUCUUUCAUAUCGACCACAUAAUAUCAAGUAUAUAAAUUAUGAUAUUAAGUUAUCGUUUAUUAAUAACGAAUUGGUAACACAACAAAUUGACUAACACAAGCACACUAUCUAAAGUUAGAUAGUUGAUGGCUAUCGUUGCAUCGAGUUGCUUGAAACUCUUGAAAUUGAUUCGAGAUCUUCCAUGAUCAUCCACUUGAUCUAUAUCGUAUCAAUAGCAUGGAUAGCGCCUUGUGUAACGUGGCCACAAUGCAACGUAACAGAAUGGCGAUUCUACGGUGUGUUGGCCUCUUUGAUGCUGAAACUGACAUUGUUGACUUGUGCUUCGAGCGUUUCAACGUUGACAUAGAUGAGAUAGAAAAUUGAGUUUUAAAUCCUAUGGGUGAAAGAGCGAAGUGGAAAUUUUUAUUUUCAAAUAGAAAUUGAAUUCAUGAUAUACAUUUACAAUUAUGGGAGAUGUAUAAUCAAGUUUUUCAAAACAACAGAGAUGGGACAUUCAUUAAAAAGAAAUACGACUUUGAGAAAUACCUCUUAAUUCGAUCUGAGCCGAGAAAAUUGGCAUAGUCUAUCUCGGUCUUUUUUAAUUGGAAUUAUUAUACAGAAAGAAAAUAAAAGAAUUGCGAGACGGAAUCGUGGAAAGCUAUGAAAAGUUAGAGUAAAUAAAGAAUGUAUAAAACAAUGGUCUGGUUCGUAAACUCGUGGAAAAAAAUUUAUAAAACAACCGCACAAUGCUUGAGAAGUGGAGAAAAAUAAGUUUUCCUAUUUGCAACCCAGUUUCAACUCGAACAAAUACAACUUUGAUAUCUCAAUUUGCAUACGCAUGUAAACCUCGUGAAAAAUCAAAAUAAUCAUACGAGUUUUUAACAUAAGAUUAUCAUUGAUCAAGAAUUUAUAUUCAAUUGAUUGGAGCGGAGGACGGUAAUCAUGGAUGAUUGAAAAUCGAAUUAAAAAAGGAAUUAAAUGGAACAUCUUGGUACUAUACACGGAUAAAAAUGUCGUCUGAAAAAGAAGAACUCGUUGAGAGGAAUAGAAAUCGAUCUCAUUUUGCAGCGAUGAAGAGAACGAAACUAGGAAAAAAGAUUAUUUGGAUAAUUCUUCGAUUCGUCUAAUAUCAAUUCUACUAAUUCGAGAUCAAUUUGCAGGACAUGUUUCGCUGUUAAACAAAAGAAAAAGAAAGCGUACUUAUAUCGAAGAUUAUCAUAGACUGAUGAAACGAUGAAACUUUCUGGAUUGUUGUAAUACGUAAGAGAGAGUUACUACUAAGGGAUAAUUUUUGAACGAAGGUUAUAAAGAUAAUAUGGAAGUUGAGUUUGAACUAGUAAUGGGAAAGAUUAGUAAUGAUGGAUUGGCAAAAAGUUUGGAGGAUCAUUAUAUAGAUCAAUAUGUUACAUGAUAUUCCAGUUUUAUGAUCGAUCUUGAGCAAUUACUUUGUUAAAAUAUUCGACAAAUGUUUAAAGAAAAUAUAUCCAUUUCUUUUUUAAUAUUACAACAUCAAAUAUAUUUUUUGCACUCGUCUUAUCAUAAAAUUUCAAGAGGUCUUUUUGAAAACGUGGCUAACCCACCGGAAAAGGGAAUGAAAAAUUUUUGCUCUGAAAUUCAAGAACCGUCUUCAAAUAUGCAUAUUUCAAGACGGCGCGAUCUCUUGAAAGGAAACGACGAAAAGUACCAUUUUCUUACUUCUGCGUUCUUCAACAAAUCAACUUCAAAUUACACAAUCUUAAUACUUUAAUAUCUUCCCCAAUAUUGUAUUGUAAGAUUUUAAAUAAACUAUUUAGAGA